UGUACAAACAGCGUAUUCCAUUAAAGUAGGUUUGUAAAUAAAAUAUCAGCCCCAGGCCGGAAAAAGGCAAGCUCGGAGGUAGAAGUAGCUUAGCAAUUCAUACAUAGAUGCAUUUCCAGCAAUGACACAGCAGUAUGUCUGAAAAAGGGUAGGGAUUCAUGCUACUACACAAAUGAAAUUACAUAAAAUAAACAGCUAAAUUUAAACCUGUCGGAUAUAGAUAAUUAUAGAGAUAUAUAGUAGUAUAUAUUCAUAUAUAUGAGAACUGAGUAACAAUCUCCACUAAUAUUUAGGAACCCACACGAUGUGAUCCUCAGGGAGGAAAUGGCAGACCGGAACUGUCCCUGGUUUCACCUUCAGCACCUGAAAAGCCAAGUGUUUUGGGUUCCACGCCGCCGUAUCCUUGUGACAAACGGCCACCGCUUUCACCUUGGUGCCGUCGUCCCCCACCAUCGCCACCUUGUA
rnacentral:lncRNA from 1 species